UAAUACGUAGGUGGCAAGCGUUGUCCGGAUUUAUUGGGUUUAAAGGGUGCGUAGGCGGCUUUGUAAGUCAGUGGUGAAAUAUCGCAGCUUAACUGUGAGGGUGCCAUUGAUACUGCAGAGCUUGAGUACAGAUGAGGUAGGCGGAAUUGACGGUGUAGCGGUGAAAUGCUUAGAUAUCGUCAAGAACACCUAUAGCGAAGGCAGCUUACUAGGCUGUAACUGACGCUGAGGCACGAAAGUGUGGGGAUCAAACAGGAUUAGAUACCCUGGUAGUCCACACUGUAAACGUUGAAGACUCGCUGUGUGCGAUAUACAGUACGCGGCUUAGAGAAAUCGUUAAGUCUUCCACCUGGGGAGUACGCCGGCAACGGUG
rnacentral:rRNA from 1 species